rnacentral:rRNA from 1 species
GAUGAACGCUGGCGGCGUGCCUAAUACAUGCAAGUCGAGCGAACGGACGAGAAGCUUGCUUCUCUGAUGUUAGCGGCGGACGGGUGAGUAACACGUGGAUAACCUACCUAUAAGACUGGGAUAACUUCGGGAAACCGGAGCUAAUACCGGAUAAUAUUUUGAACCGCAUGGUUCAAAAGUGAAAGACGGUCUUGCUGUCACUUAUAGAUGGAUCCGCGCUGCAUUAGCUAGUUGGUAAGGUAACGGCUUACCAAGGCAACGAUGCAUAGCCGACCCGAGAGGGUGAUCGGCCACACUGGAACUGAGACACGGUCCAGACUCCUACGGGAGGCAGCAGUAGGGAAUCUUCCGCAAUGGGCGAAAGCCUGACGGAGCAACGCCGCGUGAGUGAUGAAGGUCUUCGGAUCGUAAAACUCUGUUAUUAGGGAAGAACAUAUGUGUAAGUAACUGUGCACAUCUUGACGGUACCUAAUCAGAAAGCCACGGCUAACUACGUG